rnacentral:rRNA from 1 species
AACGAACGCUGGCGGCAUGCCUAACACAUGCAAGUCGAACGAGAUCUUCGGAUCUAGUGGCGCACGGGUGCGUAACGCGUGGGAAUCUGCCCUUGGGUUCGGAAAAACAGUGAGAAAUUACUGCUAAUACCGGAUGAUGUCUUCGGACCAAAGAUUUAUCGCCCAAGGAUGAGCCCGCGUAGGAUUAGGUAGUUGGUGGGGUAACGGCCUACCAAGCCGACGAUCCUUAGCUGGUCUGAGAGGAUGAUCAGCCAAACUGGGACUGAGACACGGCCCAGACUCCUACGGGAGGCAGCAGUGGGGGAUAUUGGACAAUGGGCGAAAGCCUGAUCCAGCAAUGCCGCGUGAGUGAUGAAGGCCUUAGGGUUGUAAAGCUCUUUUACCAGGGAUGAUAAUGACAGUACCUGGAGAAUAAGCUCCGGCUAACUCCGUGCCAGCAGCCGCCGUAAGAC